AGAGUUUGAUUCUGGCUCAGGAUGAACGCUAGCGAUAGGCCUAACACAUGCAAGUCGAGGGGCAGCACAUGAAGUAGCAAUACGGAUGGUGGCGACCGGCGCACGGGUGAGUAACGCGUAUGCAACCUGCCUACAACAGGGGAAUAACCCGUUGAAAGACGGACUAAUACCCCAUAACACAGGGAUCCCGCAUGGGAAUAUUUGUUAAAGAUUUAUCGGUUGUAGAUGGGCAUGCGUUCCAUUAGCUUGUUGGUGAGGUAACGGCUCACCAAGGCAACGAUGGAUAGGGGAACUGAGAGGUUUAUCCCCCACACUGGUACUGAGACACGGACCAGACUCCUACGGGAGGCAGCAGUGAGGAAUAUUGGUCAAUGGACGCAAGUCUGAACCAGCCACGUCGCGUGAAGGAAGACGGCCCUACGGGUUGUAAACUUCUUUUGUAAGGGAAUAAAGUGUAGUACGUGUACUAUUUUGCAUGUACCUUACGAAUAAGGAUCAGCUAACUCCGUGCCAGCAGCCGCGGUAAUACGGAGGAUCCGAGCGUUAUCCGGAUUUAUUGGGUUUAAAGGGUGCGCAGGCGGGAGAUUAAGUCGGCGGUGAAAUUUUGCAGCUCAACUGUAAAAGUGCCUUCGAAACUGGUUUCCUUGAGUGUGGAUGAAGUAGGCGGAAUUUGUGGUGUAGCGGUGAAAUGCAUAGAUAUCACGAGGAACUCCGAUUGCGCAGGCAGCUUACUAAACCAUAGCUGACGCUCAGGCACGAAGGCGUGGGGAUCAAACAGGAUUAGAUACCCUGGUAGUC
rnacentral:rRNA from 1 species